AAGGUGAAUUAAAUUCUGGCACUGGAAGAUUCAUUGUAAAAACCAACAAAGACACAAGUCUAAACUAAAACAUAAAGCACAUUCCACUUGUAAAAAAUAAAAUAAAGACUAAUAAUUGUUGUUGUUGUUGCCAAGCAGGAAUCAAGAGUGGAUCAAGUUCACAUCAAGACAAAACCUCAGCAACUAAAUAAAACAAACCAAGGAAAUGAAUGACCCAUUCUAUUUUAUUUUGAGAACAAAAAGCCACAGUAACAAAGUCUUGAGGAUGAGGGAAAAAUUAACAAAUGGAAGAAAAUUGACUAACGGAGAAAUGGUAUUCCCAUCUGGACAAUAUUUAGAUCAAUGCAUUGUGUGUAUAGGUUUGAGAUUACUUACAGUGCAUAUAUCAAGCUAAACAAAUGCUAACAUUUCCAUGAGAUCAUAUAUAUAUAUAUAUAUAUAUAUUCACACACAUGUAUAUAUUUAUAUAUACUGUCAACUGCCAUAAAUAAUCCUUUGUUUUGAAUGUAAUUCUAUACAUAGCUUUAUUUCCAGACGUUACAUUCUAAUGUAUAAUAUAAUAAUGAGGCAAGCGUACCCUAUGAUAAAUGUGCCAAAUCUGUUUUCUAAAAGCAAUGAUUAUUUAUUUGACCUUUUAGUCACAUCUUUACGAAACAGAAUCGAAACAGAAUCGUAAAAAAUAACAUAUAGGUAUAUUCUUUGUCAAUAUAUUCUUUGUCAAUUAUAAAACUUUUAUUUUGUAUUUUAAUAAUAUUAUAGGAACUAUAGGGGAUUUCAAGUCUUGUGGCUUCUAAAUGAAUUGUUUGAAAUUUUGUUCCUACAAAAAAAAAAUUGUAAUUUAAAUUAUACAAGUCUACCUCUCUCUCUCUCUCUUCCCAUACAUGCUUAGGAUGACUGUGUCAAAGCAUUGAUGUUUUUGUUGCUAUUUUGCUUUUGUUGUUCAUGAUUUACACUGGUGCAAUUGGUUCACAAAGGACACUAUUAACAGUAUUUAAAUAUUUAUUUUAUGUUGCAACUUAAUAGCUGACAUGCUUUGUUUUUUUUCAAGGGGAGACUAUCUUUAAGUGGCCUUUAAAGAGAAAAUUAAUACCUCUUAAAAAAAACAAAAAAAAAAACUAGAAGACAAACUUAAAACUUGAAGUUAAUGAAAGUUAAUUGUAUACACAUAAACCAUGAUUUAUAAACCAUGAUUUAGGCUGACAAAGUUUUGUGUGACCUAUAAACAAUCACAGUCAAAACCUGUUAUGGAAAUUAAUUUUAAAAAAUAUUACGGCCUUAGACAAGACAACUACUAGAAACUACAAACAUUCUGAGUAAGUCCUGGUUACACACAAGAAAAGAAUCCUAUAGUUUUGUUUAACCAAUAAAAUAGAGUCAUUACCUAGUGAUUCUAAUUUUUGUUAGCUAUAAUAUGAUUUGCAAUCUAAACUUAAAUAAAAUCAUGUCCAUUAAAAACCUGGUCUUCCAUUACUCUUGUUUCCUAAAGAACUAAUGUCAAAAAAUAGAAGCUACUAGAUAGCAGUCUAGAUAGUAUUGCAUAAUAAUCAAUGAAGCAAGAGAGUUUCUCAUCACAAAGCUUUAAACCAGAAUUAGCCACUGAAAUCCCCCCCUUGCUCCCCCCCCCC
rnacentral:sRNA from 1 species